UCGGUCCCUAUCCACCAUGGGCGCUGGAAGCUUGAGAGGAGUCGCUCCUAGUACGAGAGGACCGGAGCGAACGGACCUCUGGUGUAUCAGUCGUCGUGCCAACGGCGCUGCUGAUUAGCCACGUCCGGAUGGGAUAACCGCUGAAAGCAUCUAAGCGGGAAGCCCACCUCGAGAUGAGGCUUCCCAUCCCCUAGAGGGAGUAAGAGCCGUGGGAGACCACCACGUUGAUAGGCGGGACGUGCAAGCGUGGCAACGCGUUUAGCGGACCCGUACUAAUUGCUCGAGGUCUUGAUUUA
rnacentral:rRNA from 1 species